GGAUAUAAAAGGGCAGCCUUUAGUUUUGCCUACAACCUCACCAUUAUUUGGUCUAUCAAGUCUUUUUCAUCUUGUUUAAUGGUAGUCAAAUCUUCAGAAACCUGGCUUUUUAUAUCUAAACUAAUAUAAAAAUGAUAAUGGUAAGAAAUCUAAUUUAGUUAUCUUUUUUUUUUCUGGAAAAGGAAACCAUCAACAACAACAACACACACACACACACACACACACACACACACACACACCACAUGAUUGCUUGCUUGCUUAGGGAGGAAUCAGAGCUUCAAAAGUGAGCUGAUUCCAGCCACCAGCUGUCAUCAUAUGAGGAGCUCUUGUGAGUUGAUCGCCCAUGAAAGAGGAAUGAGCCUCUAAACAUGGCCACAGCUCAGUGAUACUGACCAACCAGACAUACCUUUGCUGGACCUAUGCAAACAUGAAACAGCCUUUUCACAUUCAGUUAAGAUUUCAUGAAGAGUUGUAAGAGAAAAGCUUUUCCAGACCCAGCCAUGAGUACUCUGCUUUACUCAGAAGAACCACAAACUUUGAACAGCUUGAUAAUCCAGCAUUUCUGAAACUUUUCUUUGCAUGUGUGUCACUGAGGUAUCUUAUUAAAGCACAUAUUCUAAUUCUUUGGUCUGAGAUGGGGACUAAGAUUCUGCAUUUCUAACAACUUCCAAGUGAUGCUAAUGUGUUCCUGAUGCUGGGACCCUAUUUUAAGUAGCAAAGGUCUUGUUGGAAUCAACCCAACCAAUGGAAGGCAAACAAUCACAAUUCUUGACUGUGAGUUUUGGACAAUGAUUGUCUAUGUUCAGAUGGAAUUUUAUGAAGCUAAACGUUACCUUUGGCCUGUAUAGUGAGUAUACUACAACUCAAGUGGAGGGGUGUGUGUUCAUAUUUUCUCUCAAAAACAAAGCUGAAAAGCCAAUGGGCACAUGGGCAGCAAGGAGAAGGAUGCUAGAAUAAAAUCUUAUUGCAAAAAGGUGGAGAUCAAUAAUCUGCAGCUAUUUCUUUUUCUUUCUUUCUUUUUUUUUUCUGAGACAAGGUUUCACUCUGUCACCUAGCCUGGAGUGCACUGGCGCAAUCAUCACUCACCACAGCCUCGAACUCCUGGGCUCAAGUGAUCCUCUUACCUCACCCUCCCAAGUAUCUGGACUACAGGCUUCAUGAAAUACUUUAGCCAGACAGGUCAGGGUUUAAAGGUGCGCCACUACAGGCAAGCACCACUAUACCCAGCUAAUUUUUAAAAUUUUUUUUAAAGAGACACAGGUCUCACUUUGUGCCCAGGCUGGUCUCAAACUCCUGGCCUCAAGCAAUCCUCCUACCUCGGCCUCCCAAAGUGCUGGGAUUACAGGCAUGAGCCAUGGCCCCUAGCCCUAUUUCUAAUGUAUGAAUAACCUGUUCUCAAGUUAUCUUAAGAAAUAAAGUAUUUCUUUUUUGAAAUAAAUAAAAAGUAGCUAUACAGACCACAUUAAAAUGAAUUACUUUCACUUGAAUUAAUGGUAGGAAAAUUUAGGAUAACAAAUAAAUAAGGAACAAUCAGAAAAGAGCUAUUUCUCUUGAAGAUGGGAUUCACUCAUUCAACAAUUUAUUGAGCCCUUUGCAAAGGGGCCAGGUGCUGUGCUGGGUGCUGGAGAUACAGAGGCAGCCCCCUCUGUCAAAGUCUCACAUUCAUUUGGGGGAUAGUGACUCAAAACAAUUCUUAAAAUGAAUUAAACUGUGAUCUCUGAAGGAGAAAUGGAGCAUUUUGAGAACAUUUGAACUGGAGUGUUGACUUGAUUGGGAUGUGAAGGAAGGCCUCCCCAAAAAGUGAUGUAUGAGAGGCCUGGUUGUCCUUUCCUGGAGAAAGAAACUCUGAAAUUCUGAUAAAAACAAAUACCCUAAGAUGUGGAACUGCCUGAAGUGAGCAAUCUGACCACCAGGGGGCAGCAUGAGUCCAUCGCUUUGUCUGAAAACAGACAGGUCCUAGUCAGCGGCCCUCCUCUCCAAGCAAGCUGAGUCUGCACGUUGGAGUCAUCUGAUGAGCUUUUAGAAAACUGCAGGACUAAGGUGACCGCCAUGAUGAAAGACCAGAUUCUCAUGAAGAAACCGUUUGUGAAGGAUUUUGAUCAGGCAACAUGGGCAUGCAGGUUUAAACACAGCCCCCAGCCUUCCAUGCCUGGCAAGCCACUUUCUCCUAUGUUCAUGCAUGUCUAGAUUUCUCAAUGAAAAACGUAGUUGAACUCAUGAAAGCCUAUCUUUAAAAAAUAUUAAAUAGCUAAUCUUAUAAACCCCUAUACACAGUGUCAGUUCACUUUUUUCAUAAAACAUGCCUAGUGGAAUGGCAACAACUGGGAAAAAUUCAGAGCUCAGCAUUUAUGUAUUGAAAAUAUCUCUUAAGUGGCUAUAGGUGUUGGUUUAUAAACUCCAGAAAUA
rnacentral:lncRNA from 10 species